GGACUACUGGGGUUUCUAAUCCUGUUUGCUCCCCACGCUUUCGCGCCUCAGCGUCAGUUACAGUCCAAGGAGCCGCCUUCGCCACCGUUGUUCCUCCAGAUAUCUACGAAUUUCACCUCUACACCUGGAAUUCCGCUCCUCCCUCCUGCACUCUAGUCUAGUAGUAUUUGGUGCACUUCUCCGCUUGAAACGAAGGCUUUCACACCAAACUUGCUAAACAGCCCGCGCGCGCUUUACGCCCAGUAAAUCCGAAUAACGCUAGCACCCUCUGUAUUACCGCGGCUGCUGGCAC
rnacentral:rRNA from 1 species